rnacentral:rRNA from 1 species
GAUGAACGCUGGCGGCGUGCCUAAUACAUGCAAGUCGAGCGAAGCGGGGACGGGUGAGUCACACGUGGAUACCUUCAUAUAAGACUGGGAUAAGUUAGGGAGACCGGAGCUCAAUCGGAUACUAAUUGAUGGAACCUCGCUGCAUUAGCUAGUUGGUAAGGUAACGGCUUACCAAGGCUACGCUGCAUAGCCGACCUGAGAGGGUGAUCGGCCACACUGGAACUGAGACACGGUCCAGACUCCUACGGGAGGCAGCAGUAGGGAAUCUUGCGCAAUGGGCGAAAGCCUGACGGAGCAACGCCGCGUGAGUGAUGAAGGUCUUCGGAUCGUAAAACUCUGUUAUUAGGGAAGCGGUACCUAAUCAGAAAGCCACGGCUAACUACGUGCCAGCAGCCGCGGUAAUUC